rnacentral:pre_miRNA from 1 species
AUAAAAACCACGCGAGGAUCUUAUUAAAAUUCAAAUUGUGGCUUGUUUGGUCUUGGGUAGAGCCCAAAAUUCUGAUUUUCUAACAGAUUCUUAGGUGAUGUCCUU